AUGGGACGGCCCGCUGGGCUGUUCCCGCCCCUAUGCCCUUUUUUGGGUUUCCGGCCAGAGGCAUGCUGGGAGCGUCACAUGCAAAUUGAGCGUGCACCCAGCGUUCCGCCCUUUCUACGCUGGGCCGGUUAUCGACCCGGCCCAGUGCGCAGGCGCGGGAAAGUUGAACUAAUAAAGUUUGUACGAGUUCAGUGGAGGAGACCGCAAGUUGAGUGGAGGAGGCGGCGGUGGGGCCCCGGACCAGGUGCCUCCAUGGCAGGCUCUGAAGAGCUGGGGCUCCGGGAAGACACGCUGAGGGUCCUAGCUGCCUUCCUUAGGCGUGGUGAGGCUGCCGGGUCUCCUGUUCCAACUCCACCUAGGUAAGAGGAGUGGCCCUUCUCCCCCAGGGGCCAGCAUUUGAGGCUCCCUCCUAACUCUUGCUCCUGGUCUCAGUCUGUCUCCUCUCUUUAUAUCUGGCUCUAUUCUCUGUCUUUGGGGUUUUGGAGAGAGGUCCUCAGCGGGGGAGGGAGGGAGUUGGGGAAAGAGACUGCUUGCAGGGGAUCUCUGGUGGGGUCAGUCUCUGAAGUCCUCCUCUCCAGAAGCCCUGCCCAAGAAGAGCCAACAGACUUCCUGAGCCGCCUUCGAAGAUGUCUUCCCUGCUCCCUGGGGCGAGGAGCAGCCCCCUCUGAGUCCCCUCGGCCUUGCUCUCUGCCCAUCCGCCCCUGCUAUGGUUUAGAGCCUGGUAAGAGAUUUCCAUGAUCAUCUAUGAAGCCGGCAGAACACGGGAUAAGGCCCAGCUACUCCAGACUUCUAUGCUUUGGUGGCCCAGCGGCUGGAACAGCUGGUCCAAGAGCAGCUGAAAUCUCCGCCCAGCCCAGAAUUACAGGGUCCCCCAUCGACAGAGAAGGAAGCCAUACUGCGGAGGCUGGUGGCCCUGCUGGAGGAGGAGGCAGAAGUCAUUAACCAGAAGCUGGCCUCGGACCCCGCCCUGCGCAGCAAGCUGGUCCGCCUGUCCUCCGACUCUUUCGCCCGCCUGGUGGAGCUGUUCUGUAGCCGGGAUGACAGCUCUCGCCCAAGCCGAGCAUGCCCCGGGCCCCCGCCUCCUUCCCCGGAGCCCCUGGCCCGCCUGGCCCUAGCCAUGGAGCUGAGCCGGCGCGUGGCCGGGCUGGGGGGCACCCUGGCCGGACUCAGCGUGGAGCACGUGCACAGCUUCACGCCCUGGAUCCAGGCCCACGGGGGCUGGGAGGGCAUCCUGGCUGUUUCACCCGUGGACUUGAACUUGCCAUUGGACUGAGCUCUUUCUCAGAAGCUGCUACAAGAUGACACCUCAUGUCCCUGCCCUCUUCGUGUGCUUUUCCAAGUCUUCCUAUUCCACUCAGGGCUGUGGGGUGGUGGUUGCCCUACCUGUUUUUGCCAAAAAUAAAUUGUUUAAAACUUUUCUUAUUAAAAACGUUACAAAGUA
rnacentral:misc_RNA from 1 species